rnacentral:rRNA from 1 species
ACGGGCACUUCGGUGCUAGUGGCAGACGGGUGAGUAACACGUGGGAACGUACCUUUCGGUUCGGAAUAAUUCAGGGAAACUUGGACUAAUACCGGCUACGCCCUUCGGGGGAAAGAUUUAUCGCCGAAAGAUCGGCCCGCGUCUGAUUAGCUAGUUGGUGAGGUAAAGGCUCACCAAGGCGACGAUCAGUAGCUGGUCUGAGAGGAUGAUCAGCCACAUUGGGACUGAGACACGGCCCAAACUCCUACGGGAGGCAGCAGUGGGGAAUAUUGGACAAUGGGCGAAAGCCUGAUCCAGCCAUGCCGCGUGAGUGAUGAAGGCCUUAGGGUUGUAAAGCUCUUUUGUCCGGGAAGAUAAUGACUG